GAAAAAUUGAGGGCAAACCAAAAUCCUUGUCUGGGAACAAUGAAUGGUUGUACAGAGUUUUGGUCCAACCCAAGUGAAGUAGAUGCUGAGAUUUGUUACUGGAUGAGUGAAAAUUUUGACCUGCUAGUGGCAUUAGAGGAAAACUUUAAAACCGAGAUUAAAAUACCGAGACAUGACAACUAAAA